AGCCUCAGCCUUGGGAUGGGGCAGGGAAAUGUUAGUCCUUUCUUCUCUGCAUCGGUGAGGAGCUGAAGCGCAGGCAGCUCCUGCAGAGGGUGGGUUUGCAAUGGCAGCGUCUCACCAUGCUGAGGUUUUGCCUUUUGCCAGCCUCAACAAAGCCUUUAGCUGUGCCUGCUGACACCAUGGCAUUGUGGUGGUGGCGUUUGGCGUCGCUGUCACAGCAAACCAUCACCACAGCUUGGGUGCUCUGGGUUUGAGCCUAUGCCUUGGUCUGGAGGAAGCUGAAGGUGCUGAGAGCUACAUCAAAGCAGAACCACUGUCAGGAGCUUCAUUUUGCUUCCAGAGGACUCUGUCUGCUGGUAACAUGCUGAGGGCUCUUUCUGUCCUGUCACCAGGGAGAUACUGAGAGAAGAACAAGCCUGGCAUUGCAAGAAGGUGGGAGAUGGAAAAGAGGUGGAGGCAGGACAAGAAGCCCUGUUGUGUGUGUGUGCACUGACACACGUGUGCAAAUCCAGGAGUGAUCCCUGAUCUCUGGAUUGGCUGCGGCGCUGGCUUUGGGCUCCAUGCAGGGCUGCACAAAGCGAGGGGGUGUGAGCUCCUCUGCUCGUUAUUGCAUGUAAUGGGGAAAGUGGCACUGAAAUGAGCUCGGCUCUGUGCAGAAAAGUGCCUUCCUCUGAAAGCUCUGCUGGGAGGUAGGGCAUAAAGGAAAUAAAUUGGCU